rnacentral:rRNA from 1 species
AAGCGUACACGGUGGAUGCCUAGGCAAUCAGAGGCGAUGAAGGACGUGCUAAUCUGCGAAAAGCGUCGGUAAGGCGAUAUGAACCGUUAUAGCCGACGAUGUCCGAAUGGGGAAACCCAGUGCAAUUCGUUGCACUAUCGUUUGAUGAAUCCAUAGUCAAACGAGGCGAACCGGGGGAACUGAAACAUCUCAGUACCCCGAGGAAAAGAAAUCAACCGA